rnacentral:rRNA from 1 species
GAUGAACGCUGGCGGUGUGCCUGAUACAUGCAAGUCGAACGAGAAUCCCUUCGGGGAGGAAAGUGGCGCACGGGUGCGUAACACGUGGAUGACCUACCCCUUGGUUCGGGACAACAGCGGGAAACUGCUGCUAAUACCGGAUGUGUCGUAGCAAUACGAGAAAGGCCCGCAAGGGUCGCCAGAGGACGGGUCCGCGUCCCAUCAGCUAGUUGGUGAGGUAAUGGCUCACCAAGGCGAAGACGGGUAGCUGGUCUGAGAGGUGACCGGCCACACUGGGACUGAGACACGGCCCAGACUCCUACGGGAGGCAGCAGUGGGGAAUAUUGCACAAUGGGCGCAAGCCUGAUGCAGCAACGCCGCGUGAGGGACGACGGCCUUCGGGUUGUAAACCUCUUUUAGCAGGGAAGAAGCGAAAGUGACGGUACCUGCAGAAAAAGCACCGGCUAACUACGUGCCAGCCGCCGCAGUAA